rnacentral:rRNA from 1 species
ACGAACGCUGGCGGCGUGCUUAACACAUGCAAGUCGCACGGUGAAGGGGCCUGCUUUUGUGGGCCCUGGAUGAGUGGCGAACGGGUGAGUAACACGUGAGUAACCUGCCCCCUUCUUCUGGAUAACCGCAUGAAAGUGUGGCUAAUACGGGAUAUUCUGGGUCUGUCGCAUGAUGGGUCUGGGAAAGAUUGCGCCUUUGGGUGUUUUUGGUGGGGGAUGGGCUCGCGGCCUAUCAGCUUGUUGGUGGGGUGAUGGCCUACCAAGGCGGUGACGGGUAGCCGGCCUGAGAGGGUGGACGGUCACACUGGGACUGAGACACGGCCCAGACUCCUACGGGAGGCAGCAGUGGGGAAUAUUGCACAAUGGGCGCAAGCCUGAUGCAGCGACGCCGCGUGAGGGAUGGAGGCCUUCGGGUUGUAAACCUCUUUCGCCAGUGAAGCAGGCCUGCUCCUUGUGGGUGGGUUGACGGUAGCUGGAUAAGAAGCGCCGGCUAACUACGUG